ACAAAAAUGAUAACUAAUACGCCCGGUUAAGGACACUGUUGUGACGAAUGACAGGUGGGGGAGUGACACCAAUUGCAAACAUGGAGGGUAUUACACCUGUCAAGACCGAUAUAAUCCAGGAAAACUUGUUAAUCAUAAAUGGGAGAAUUGCAUGACAAUUGACAAGCAUUCCUGGGGCUAUCGAAGGAACUCGCAACUUGCAGAUUACUUGACGAUGCACGAGAUAAUUACAUUAUUGGUGGAGACUGUCAGGU